UGCUGGUCCUACAGAAUCUAGUCUCUAUCUACCUUCCCUUCACUCUCUUUGCCUAUAUUUUGCAAAAGUGUGGUUUGUCCAUCCCAGAAAGUACAUAAAACUAUCCAAAUAGGUACAGAAAGCAAAAGGUGAUUAUUAGAAUUUCAUGUUCUGUUUUUAGAAUAUGAAAAUAGUCAGGAAGGACUAUUUUUAUUUCAUCUUUUAAAAAAUAUUUGUGCUUAUUGUAGUACAGGUGGCUAAUUUAUUUAAAAAUGAAUAUACAUAUAUUGGUGGUAUCGGCUCAUAUGACUUUCAUUCACAAGGAUCACAAUCAAGAGUUUAAAGACAACCGGUCUCUGCUCCAGCCACACAGGACUUCUUCUAGUACCUUUACUACAUCAUGCCUCCCCUGCCUCAGGCUUCUGCUGGGAUGGAUCGAGCACAUUCACCCUAAAAUUCUGAUUCAGAAGAUCUGAGCCUUCUGAAAAAAAAGCAUUGAGAGCAUAAACCACUCAGAAGAUUUAUAGCUUAAAGCAGAUCACCUUAAGGUACUGGAAUCAGUCAGUGCUUAGAUGGAACAUUUUUUGAGGCCUACAUCUUCACUGAGUGCCCUUCUUCUCUAUUUCCUAUACUUCCUUGUUUCUUUCUGUUCCCACUGCAUCCCUUAUGGAUUUGUACAAAUAAUGCUGGGUUCUUUUCUUCACCCACAUGCAGCAGUUGCUGCUGGAUCAUAACCAUUCCUUCUAUUGGUUUUAAAAUCUGUUUUUCUCAGAUUCCUUACACUUGAAGGAAAAAAAAAAAGGACAUUUAGCCUGUUUUUCUUUUAAGCAAUAAAAAUUCUUCUCUCACUGUAUUGAUUAUUCUCAAUGUGGGGCUAAAUUAUGCAAAUUCUGAUUCUUUUCCUCUUUGCAAAAAUUAAGAAGCAAUAAUAUCAAGUUAGUAUACCAUGUUGGAUGUUUUUUAUUUCUUUUGGGGGAGGUGCUCAAAAUCCAUUGUAAAUCUCAAGUAGAAAUCCAUUUGUAAAUAAGUUUUUGGUUAGAAAUUUAUCACUUAAAAAUUUUAGUACAGUAUUUGGAGAGUAAUGGAAUGACUACCAAGCACUAAAAAUUGAGACAGUAAGAUGGCAAGCAUUAAAUCUGGUUACAUGUUGAAUUGUAUUGGUGUGAUUCCAGGGAGUAGAAUAAACAGAUAUAGUUCCAAAAUUGGACCACAGAAAGCUGAUACAGCUGUGCAUUCAGAGUGAGUUAAUUAAACUAUUUGAACACAGACAAUAAGAGAGGAGAGAAAGAAUGAUGGGAAAACCAAGUAGGACACUGUUCUCUAUUAUUAUCAAGUGUUAACUUCAUUAUCAUAGUACUGGCCUUUCCACCAUAAAAUGCUAAGAAACCUGAAGCAUUACUUUUAUGUCAAUUGUCGCUGGCAAUUAGAUCAAAAGUAAAUACAUGUCGCUUGCUAAAAAUACAAGAGACAGAAGGCUGUAGACAUUUAUGCUCUAAGAAAUUUAAUUUGAAACUAAUGUAUAAGACAACCUGAGUAAAUCUGACUUUAGAGAGAUUCAACUUUACUAUACCAGAUUAUAUGAGAAGAACAAACAGUGGAAAAGAAAAAUGGGGAAUUUUACUGUAUUCAUCCAUCUAUAAAGACAGUAAGUAGAACUGGUUAAAAGUCAUCACUAGCAAUAUUAAAUUGCAUGAAGAUUGCACUGACUUUUUUUUUUUUUUUUUUUUAAUUUUUUGAGACAGGGUCUCACUCUGUUGCUCAGGCUGGAGUGCAGUGGUGCAAUCACAGCUCACUUCAGCCUUGACUUUCCAGGCUCAAGAAAUCCUCUCACCUCAGCCUCCUGAGUAGUUGGGACCACAGGUGUAAGUCACCAAGCCUGGCUGAUUUCUUUGUAGAGGUGGGGUUUCACUGUGUUGCCCCAGCUGGUCUUGAACUCCUGGGCUCAAGUGAUCUGUACACUUUGGCCUCCCAAAGUGCUGGCAUUACAGGUGUAAGCCACUACACCUGGCCUUGAAUUGCUAUUUUUAUACAUCAACUUUUUAGCUUGGGAAGAAAAGCUUAUCCAUACAACUUUGCUUUUUUUUUUUUUUUUUUUUUGAGACAGUCUUGUUCUGUUGCCCAGGCUGGAAUGCAGUGGAGUAAUCUUGGCUCACUGCAAGCUCCACCUCCUGGGUUCAAGCGAUUCUCCGGCCUCAGCCUCCCGAGUAAGUAGCUAGGAUUACAGGUGCACACCACCACACCUGGCUAAUUUUUUUAUACUUUUAGUAGAGACAGGGUUUCGCCAUGUUGGCCAGGCUGGUCUUGAACUCUUGACCCCAAGUGAUCCGCCCACCUAAGCCUUCCAUAGUGCUGGGAUUAUAGGCGUGAGCCAUUGCAUCUGGCCACAACUUGGCAUUUCUAAAAAUGAUUUAUUCAUUCACUCACUCAACAAAUAUUUAUUUACUAUUUACUAUGUAGCAGGUAAAGCCGUCCUGGAACAAAGGCACAGUCUAUCCCCUGGAGGAGUUUACAGUCUGGUGGGGAGAAAGUCUUUUUUUUUGAGAUGGAGUCUCGCACUGUCGCGCCGGCUGGAGUGCAGUGGCGUGAUCUCGGCUCACUGCAACCUCCACCUCCUGGGUUCAAGGGUUUCUCCUGUCUCAGCCUCCUGAGCAGCUGGGAUUACAGGUGCCCGCCACCACAUCUGGCUAAUUUUGUAUUUUUAGUAGAGACCAGGUUUCACCAUGUUGGCCAGGCUGGUCUCGAACUCCUGACCUCGUGAUCCGCCUACCUCAGCCUCCCAAAGUGCUGGGAUUACAGGCAUGAGCCACCGCACCCAGCCUGGGAUAAAGUCUUAAAAGAAAUAAUCACAAUAUAAAUAAAUACUGUAUUUACAAAGUAAGUUAAGUGCUCUGAGGGAGAAGAAAAUGUGGAGGGAUACUAAUACAUGGCUCUAAUUUUUAUUGCUUCUCUGAGGAAUGACAAUGAAGCUGAGCCUUGAAGAGUAGGUUAGCCAGUGAGGAUUAGGGAGAAAGGGUGUUCCAGGCACAGGGAACAAUGAGCACAGGAUGACCAAGAGCAAGACCGGCUACAUAAUUUGCAGGCUCAGUGCAAGAUAAAAAUUGAACACAAAAACUAAGAAUUUCAAGCUAGUGAUAGAGCAUUCAACCAAGUAUGAGGACCUAUGUGACUGCACAGGUCACACACACAUCAAGCCAGUUUUGGAAAAGGAUGCAUGUUUAAGGGACUUAAGGCCAGUUGCUGGAGCACAGUGAGGAGAGGGAUUGCUAGCUGAAGAGUACGAGAGGUACACAGGAACCAGUCCAAGGUGCAGGGCCUCCAGGGACCAACCUCACAGAGGUUCAUAGUUUCCCCAAAUAGUUAGCAAAGAGCUAUUGUGUAAGCAAGGCUGUUAUGUAAUCAUUCUGCUGGGUGCUGAGAGGAAGACAAAGAAGAUAGUUUCUGCUUUUAAGGAGCUUACAAAUAAUUAUAUAAUUUAGGGUAGAAUGUGACAGGUUCCACAAGAAAGGUAUAAGCACCAAUAUUUGGGGGCUUCAAGGCAUUAAGAUUACUCAGUUGGAGGCGGAGAACUGCAAAGCACACAGACAGAAGGACUGCACACUGACUGAAAUUAGCAUACUUCUGCCUUUGGAGCUAUGAUUUAACCAUAUCACUGCAGGAACAGCAAACACAUCCAGCACUUCCUAUGUGCCAGGCACUGAGUGCUAUAUGCUUUACAUGUAUGAAUUCAUUUUAGCCUCACAUCUCUGAAGUAGGUGCUGUUCUAUCAUCUUCAUUUUACAGAAGAAGAACAAAGGCACAGAAAGGUUAAAUAGCUUGCCCAAGGCCACACAGCUAGUAAAGUGGGGAUUAAUUUGAACCCAGGCAGUCUGGGUUUAAUAUCCUUGCUUUGAACUAUUAUACUAUACUAUCAUCUUACUAACAUUAAAUGUUUUAUUUUGCUUUGUUUUUUAAAUCUGUGUGCUAUAAUUGCACCUCCUUUACUUUUCUCCUGGUGUACUUGGUUAGUUAUAUAUACUGCUUCAAAUUGGCUAGGAAAUAUAGAACAAGAGAAAUAACUGCCCUAAAUAUUUGUCCUUCUUUAUUAUCUAGAGCCAGAUUUGGCCGAACAGCAGUAUGAAAUACAUUUAGGUAUGAGUUUCUGAAAGAAGACAACAUAGACAGCACUACUUUCCUCUGCUGUUGACAUCAGUCCCAGUGUGUCUUUGCACUAAUGGCUAACUAGAGCCAUGUAGUUAUGGACAAUUACUCCUGACUCCCUUAGAACUAUGAACAGUGAAUUAAUGGAACUCUAAGAACUCACACAUUGGCUCCCAGUGUCCCUAUGACCCAAAGCUGGAUCUGUUCCUUACAGAAUUGGUAAGUACAUGCAUGUGCUCAUUAUAAUAAAUAUCUACUGUGUACAAGACACUAUGCCACAUGCUAUGUGGGAUACAAAGAAAGUUAUGACACAGUCCUUUCAUCAAGAAACUUACAAUAAAUUUUAAAAUUUUAUUAAUGCCAUAACAGAAAUAUAAGCCUCAUUCUAUGAUGGUGUAGAGGAGAAUGAGUUCACAAAUCCAUCAGGAAAUUUAGGAUAGACUUUAAGGAAGAGAUAGCAUGUAAGCAUCGUCCUGGAGGGAGGUUUUGCUAUUGACCAUUCCGAAGUGUCAGGGUUUUGUUUUGUUUUGUUUUGUUUUGUUUUGUUUCGUUUUGGUGGGGGAGGAGGAGGGUAUAUAUCAGUGCCUCCAAAGACUGAAGACAGGCAUGGCCAUAGGUCUCCUCACUACCUUUCUACCAGGUAGGAAGCAUCUUCUGUUAGGUGAUAGUCAACAGGCCCGAACAGUGCUCUGCCUCGGGUGACACUGUGCAGGCAUUAGGCUACCUGGCUUGCCAGAAUCUUAUGAGCAAUUCAUGUGCCAGAGGAACCUGUAUGGUAUUUCUAAUCAAUCCAAUUUGAAAUUAUUUCUGACAUCCUUUAUGCUAACUAGAAAACUCUCUGGUGUAGAUUUAAAGAUAAGCAGGUUAAAUUUACAGUAGUUAUCUCCUCAUUAGGGUAUUUCCAAUGCCAAACAACUACCCUUACACUAUGUAUUCCCUUAUCAGUGUUUCAAAUGUUAAUCACUCACAUCCAAGGUGUAGACUAACUAACACGCUGUGUAGACUGGGGUGUUUUAAUGUAAA
rnacentral:lncRNA from 1 species